rnacentral:rRNA from 1 species
UACGGAGGGUGCGAGCGUUAAUCGGAAUUACUGGGCGUAAAGCGCACGUAGGUGGUUGGGUAAGUCGGAUGUGAAAGCCCUGGGCUUAACCUGGGAACUGCAUUCGAUACUGCCCGGCUAGAGUAUGGGAGAGGGAGGCGGAAUUUCCGGUGUAGCGGUGAAAUGCGUAGAUAUCGGAAGGAACACCAAUGGCGAAGGCAGCUUCCUGGCCCAAUACUGACACUGAGGUGCGAAAGCGUGGGGAGCAAACAGG